GACGAACGCUGGCGGCGUGCUUAACACAUGCAAUUCGAACGGAAAGGCCCUGCUUUUGUGGGGUGCUCGAGUGGCGAACGGUUGAGUAACACGUGAUUAACCUGCCCUUGACUUUGGGAUAACUUCAGGAAACUGGGGCUAAUACCGGAUAGGAGCUCCUGCUGCAUGGUGUGUGUUGGAAAGUUUCGGCGGUUGGGGAUGGACUCGCGGCUUAUCAGCUUGUUGGUGGGGUAGUGGCUUACCAAGGCUUUGACGGGUAGCCGGCCUGAGAGGGUGACCGGACACAUUGGGACUGAGAUACAGCCCAGACUCCGACGGGAGGCAGCAGUGGGGAAUAUUGCAAAAUGGGCGGAAGCCUGAUGCAGCAACGCCGAGUGCGGGAUGACGGCCUUCGGGUUGUAAACCGAUUUCGCCUGUGACGAAGCGUGAGUGACGGUAAUGGGUAAAGAAGCACAGGCUAACAAAGUG
rnacentral:rRNA from 1 species